ACGGGUGAGUAACACGUGAGUAACCUGCCCUCCACUUUGGGAUAACUCCGAGAAAUCGGGGCUAAUACUGGAUAUGACCUUGGCCCGCAUGGGUUGUGGUGGAAAGUUUUUCGGUGGGGGAUGGGCUCGCGGCCUAUCAGUUUGUUGGUGAGGUAGUGGCUCACCAAGGCGAUGACGGGUAGCCGGCCUGAGAGGGCGACCGGCCACACUGGGACUGAGACACGGCCCAG
rnacentral:rRNA from 1 species